CCCCUUAGUAGGGCAUAGCCCGUAGAAAUGCGGAUUAAUACCCUAUGUUUUUCCGGAGACGGCAUCAGAACUGGAACAAAGAUUGAUCGCUAAGGGAUGGGGAUGCGUACGAUUAGGUUGUUGGCGGGUAACGGCCCACCAAGCCUGCGAUCGUUAGGGGUCUGAGAGGAAGGUCCCCCACACUGGUACUGAGACACGGACCAGACUCCUACGGGAGGCAGCAGUGAGGAAUAUUGGUCAAUGGGCGUGAGCCUGAACCAGCCAAGUAGCGUGCAGGACGACGGCCCUACGGGUUGUAAACUGCUUUUAUCAGGGGAUAAAGUGCGGGACGUGUCCCUCAUUGCAGGUACAUGAUGAAUAAGGACCGGCUAAUUCCGUGCCAGCCGCCGC
rnacentral:rRNA from 1 species